GAUGAACGCUGGCGGCGUGCCUAAUACAUGCAAGUCGAGCGAAUGGAUUAAGAGCUUGCUCUUAUGAAGUUAGCGGCGGACGGGUGAGUAACACGUGGGUAACCUGCCCAUAAGACUGGGAUAACUCCGGGAAACCGGGGCUAAUACCGGAUAACAUUUUGAACCGCAUGGUUCGAAAUUGAAAGGCGGCUUCGGCUGUCACUUAUGGAUGGACCCGCGUCGCAUUAGCUAGUUGGUGAGGUAACGGCACACCAAGGCAACGAUGCGUAGCCGACCUGACAGGGUGAUCGGCCACACUGGGACUAAGACACGGCCCAGACCCCUACGGGAGGCAGCGGUAGGGAAUCUUCCGCGAUGGACGAAAGUCUGACGGAGCAACGCCGCGUGAGUGAUGAAGGCUUUCGGGUCGUAAAACUCUGUUGUUAGGGAAGAACAAGUGCUAGUUGAAUAAGCUGGCACCUUGACGGUACCUAACCAGAAAGCCACGGCUAACUACGUGCCAGCAGCCGCAGUAA
rnacentral:rRNA from 1 species